rnacentral:rRNA from 1 species
CCUGUCGGUGUAACUGGCAUGUCGCGGCAUGUCCUGUCGGUGGUGAACGGGAUUCCCGUUACUGUUUAGGCUUAAUUGCCGAAGCAUGUAACGUGUGUUUUUCCGUUUACCGAUCUCUCCUACUCCGGUGCUCUUAAACGAGUGUCGAGGUAGGCCGACACGUUCACUUUGAACAAAUUAGAGUGCUUAAAGCAGGCUGAAAUAUCUGCCUGAAUAGUGGUGCAUGGAAUGAUAAAAUAGGACCUCGGUUCUAUUUUGUUGGUUUUAGGAAUAUGAGGUAAUGAUCAAUGUGGACUGGCGGGGGCAUUCGUAUUGCGACGUUAGAGGUGAAAUUCUUGGAUCGUCGCAAGACGCACUAGAGCGAAAGCAUUUGCCAAGUAUGUCUUAAUUGAUCAAGAACGAAAGUUAGAGGUUCGAAGGCGAUCAGAUACCGCCCUAGUUCUAACCAUAAACGAUGCCAGCCAGCGAU